rnacentral:lncRNA from 1 species
UUCAUACUGCCUUCUUUUUCUUUCCUCUAGGAGACUAUUGGAUUUUAUUCCUUCGCUAACACUGUCUACCUUUAGAAAGGACAAGCCAUUGCAUUAUGGCCUCAUAUGAAGUCACUAACUUUUGCAUGUCAAGAAUAAAAGAGAAAUUUAUAAACAAAAUGGGAAGCAUGGUUGGGCCAAAUGCAUCUUUGUUAUUAUGACUGAGCUUGCAGGGAAGUUGUGGAGAGAUUCUUUGUUCUGAUUUCUGGUGGAGUAUUCUGGCCCUGGUGUUAUUCCCCCCGCCUGCCCACCAUCUUCCUGAGACCUGGGAGGGAGAGGGAGGUUUUCACAGCCUGAAAUGUUGAUUCUGAAGUGUGAAGGAAACAGAACCACGCUGGAUGAUGUGACUCAUCUUGGAGAAAUCAAACAUUCCCUGAAGUGUGGUAGAAGGCAGGAAGAAUGACACUUGCUAAUUUGAAUUUCAGAAA